rnacentral:rRNA from 1 species
GCUCAUGACGAACGCUGGCGGCGUGCCUAAUACAUGCAAGUCGAGCGGACAGAAGGGAGCUUGCUCCCGGAUGUUAGCGGCGGACGGGUGAGUAACACGUGGGUAACCUGCCUGUAAGACUGGGAUAACUCCGGGAAACCGGAGCUAAUACCGGAUAGUUCCUUGAACCGCAUGGUUCAAGGAUGAAAGACGGUUUCGGCUGUCACUUACAGAUGGACCCGCGGCGCAUUAGCUAGUUGGUGAGGUAACGGCUCACCAAGGCGACGAUGCGUAGCCGACCUGAGAGGGUGAUCGGCCACACUGGGACUGAGACACGGCCCAGACUCCUACGGGAGGCAGCAGUAGGGAAUCUUCCGCAAUGGACGAAAGUCUGACGGAGCAACGCCGCGUGAGUGAUGAAGGUUUUCGGAUCGUAAAGCUCUGUUGUUAGGGAAGAACAAGUGCAAGAGUAACUGCUUGCACCUUGACGGUACCUAACCAGAAAGCCACGGCUAACUACGUGCCAGCAGCCGCGGUAAUACGUAGGUGGCAAGCGUUGUCCGGAAUUAUUGGGCGUAAAGGGCUCGCAGGCGGUUUCUUAAGUCUGAUGUGAAAGCCCCCGGCUCAACCGGGGAGGGUCAUUGGAAACUGGGAAACUUGAGUGCAGAAGAGGAGAGUGGAAUUCCACGUGUAGCGGUGAAAUGCGUAGAGAUGUGGAGGAACACCAGUGGCGAAGGCGACUCUCUGGUCUGUAACUGACGCUGAGGAGCGAAAGCGUGGGGAGCGAACAGGAUUAGAUACCCUGGUAGUCCACGCCGUAAACGAUGAGUGCUAAGUGUUAGGGGGUUUCCGCCCCUUAGUGCUGCAGCUAACGCAUUAAGCACUCCGCCUGGGGAGUACGGUCGCAAGACUGAAACUCAAAGGAAUUGACGGGGGCCCGCACAAGCGGUGGAGCAUGUGGUUUAAUUCGAAGCAACGCGAAGAACCUUACCAGGUCUUGACAUCCUCUGACAACCCUAGAGAUAGGGCUUUCCCUUCGGGGACAGAGUGACAGGUGGUGCAUGGUUGUCGUCAGCUCGUGUCGUGAGAUGUUGGGUUAAGUCCCGCAACGAGCGCAACCCUUGAUCUUAGUUGCCAGCAUUC